rnacentral:rRNA from 1 species
CGGACGGGUGAGUAACGCGUGGGUAACCUGCCUUGUACUGGGGGACAACAGUUGGAAACGACUGCUAAUACCGCAUAAGCGCACAGCUUCGCAUGAAGCAGUGUGAAAAAACUCCGGUGGUACAAGAUGGACCCGCGUCUGAUUAGCUGGUUGGUGAGGUAACGGCCCACCAAGGCACGAUCAGUAGCCGGCCUGAGAGGGUGAACGGCCACAUUGGGACUGAGACACGGCCCAA